rnacentral:lncRNA from 1 species
CAUUGGAAACGGGAAUAUCUUCAUAUAAAAUCUAGACAGAGGCAUUCUCAGAAACUUCUUUGUGAUGUGUGUCCUCAACUAACGGCGGUACAUCCUGUCUUUUGAUACAGCAGUUUGGAAACACUCUUUUUGUAGAAUCUGCCAGUGGAUAUUUGCAUAGCUCUAAUGAUUUCUUUGGAAACGGGAAUACCUUCAUAUAAAAUCUAGACAGAGGCACUCUCAGAAACUGCUUUGUGAUAUCUGCAUUCAAGUCACACAGUUCAACAUUCCCUUUCUUAGAGCAGGUUUGAAACACUCUUUUUGCAGGAUCUGGAAGUGGACAUUUGGAGCGCUUUGACGCCUUUGGUGAUAAAGGAAAUGUCUUCACAUAAAAACUAGAAAGAAGCAUUCUAAGAAACAUCUUUGUGAUAUAUGUACUCAACUAACCGAGUUGAACCUUGCUCUUUAUAGAUCAGCUUUUUAAUGCUCUUUUUGUGGAAUCUGCAAGUGGAUAUUUGGAUAGCUUUCAGGAUUUCGUUGGAAACGGGAUUACAAACAAAAUGUAGACAGCAGCAUUCUCAGAAACUUCUUUGUGAUGUUUGCUUUUAAGUCACAGAGUUGAACAUUCCCUUUCGUAGAGCAGGUUUCAGACACUCUUUCUGUAGUAUCUGGAAGUGGACAUUUCGAGUGUUUUCAGGCCUAUGGUGAACAAGGAAAUAUCUUCCCAUAAAAACCAGACACAAGCAUUUGCAGAAACUUGUUUGUGAUGCGUGUCCUCAACUCACAGAAUAGAACAUUUCGUUUGACAGAGCAGCUUGGAAACACGCUUUUUGUAGAAUCUGCAAUUGGAUAUUUGGAUAGCUUUGUGGAUUUCUUUGGAAACGGGAGUAUCUUCAUAUAAAACCUAGACGGAAACAUUCUCAGAAACUCCUUUGUAAUGUCUGCAUUCACGUCACAGAUUUGAACAUUCCCUUUCAUAGAGCAGGUUUGAAACACUCUUUCCGAAGUAUCUGGAUGUGGACACUUGGAGCGCUUUGACGCUUACGGUGAAAAGGAAAUAACUUCCCAUGAAAACUAGACAGAAGCAUUCUCACAAACUGGUGUGUGAUGUAUGUCCUCAGCUAACAGAGUUAAACCUUUCUAUUUACAGAGCAGUUUUCAAAGACUCUUUUUGGAGAAUCUGCAAGUGGAUAUCUGGAGAUCUUUAAGGAUUUCAUUGGAAACCGGAAUAUCUUCAGGUAAAAUCUAGACAGAGGCAUUCUCAGAAACUUCUUCGUGAUGUGCGUCCUCAACUAACAGAGUACAACCUGUCUUUUGAUACAUCAGUUUGGAAACACUCUUUUUGUAGAAUCUGGAAGUGGAUAUUUCGAUAGCUCUAACGAUUUUGUUGAAAACGGGAAUAGCUUCAUAUAAAAUCUAGGCAGAGGCACUCUCAGAAACUAAUUUUGUGAGAUCUGCAUUCAAGUCACAGAGUUGAACAUUCCCUUUCUUAGAGCAGGUUUGAGACACUUUGUAGUAUCUGGAAGUGGACAUUUUUAGCGCUUUGACGCCUUUGGUGAAAAAGGAAAUGUUUUCCCAUAAAAACUAGACAGAAGCAUUCUAAGAAACUUCUUUGGGAUAUAUGUACUCAACUAACAGAGUUGAACCUUUC